UACGAAGGGGGCUAGCGUUGUUCGGAAUCACUGGGCGUAAAGCGCACGUAGGCGGAUCUUUAAGUCAGGGGUGAAAUCCCGGGGCUCAACCUCGGAACUGCCUUUGAUACUGGGGAUCUCGAGUCCGGGAGAGGUGAGUGGAAUUGCGAGUGUAGAGGUGAAAUUCGUAGAUAUUCGCAAGAACACCAGUGGCGAAGGCGGCUCACUGGCCCGGUACUGACGCUGAGGUGCGAAAGCCAGGGGAGCGAACGGG
rnacentral:rRNA from 1 species